rnacentral:rRNA from 1 species
CCUCGGAUCAGGUAGGGAUACCCGCUGAACUUAAGCAUAUCAAUAAGCGGA